UACGUAGGGGGCGAGCGUUAUCCGGAUUUAUUGGGCGUAAAGCGUGUGUAGGCGGUUUAUUAAGUUUAAGAUUAAAGCCCGGGGCUCAACUCCGGUAAGUCUUAAAAACUGGUAGACUUGAGUACGGUAGAGGCAAACGGAAUUUCUAGUGUAGCGGUGAAAUGCGUAGAUAUUAGAAGGAACACCAGUGGCGAAAGCGGUUUGCUGGGCCGUUACUGACGCUGAGGCACGAAAGCGUGGGGAGCAAAUAGG
rnacentral:rRNA from 2 species